rnacentral:rRNA from 1 species
GGAAGGUCCGGGCGUUAUCCGGAUCCAUUGGGUNUAAAGGGAGCGUANGCCGGANAUUAANCGUGUUGUGAAAUGUAGACNCUCAACGUCUGCACUGCAGCGCGAACUGGUNUCCUNGAGUACGCACAAAGUGGGCGGAAUUCGUGGUGUAGCGGUGAAAUGCUUAGAUAUCACGAAGAACUCCNAUUGCGAAGGCAGCUCACUGGAGCGCANCUGACGCUGAAGCUCGAAAGUGCGGGUAUCGAACAGGAUUANAUACCCUGGUAGUCCGCACGGUAAACGAUGGAUGCCCGCUGUAGGCNAUAUACGGUCUGCGGCCAAGCGAAAGCAUUAAGUAUUCCACCUGGGGAGU